UGGGCAAUGGCGGGCGCCCCUCCCCCCGCCUCGCUGCCGCCUUGCAGUUUGAUCUCAGACUGCUGUGCUAGCAAUCAGCGAGACUCCGUGGGCGUAGGACCCUCCGAGCCAGAGAUGGGAUCUUACUACAUUGCCCAGGCUGAAGUGCAGUGGCUAUUAACAGCUGUAAUCAUAAUGCAUUGCAGCUUUGAAUUCCUGGGCUUGAGCGACCUCCCCACCUUAGCCUCCUGAGUAGCUGAGACUACAGAUGUGCCUUGCUUCUCCUUCAUUUUCUGCCAUGACUGUAAGUUCCCUGAGGCCUUCCCAUCCAUGUGGAACUGCAUUCUAAUAUAUGCAUUCUUCAUAACAACUGUGUGAAACAUAUUAAUAUCCUCAUUGUUAACGAUGAAGAAACUAAAUCUCAGGAAGAAAAACUAAGUGAAGACAAAAGAAGGAUUUGAACUGAGGUUUGUCAGACUCUCGGGACCAUGCUGUUGAAACCACUAAACCACGCUGCCUCUGGGUCACUUGAUUAUUCUGGGAGAUUCUGGGAGUCUUUUCUCCAACACUCCAGUGGCAUCUGACUAUGUGAGCUGAUAAGAUCUAUAGAUCUUUGCUGAACCUGAUUCUGGAAGGUACAACAAUUUCGGCCAUCUUCCUAAUCAAUACUGUGAGAUGGGACCAAAUUGAUUGUGUGGUACAUGAAGCACAGCCCAGGAAAA
rnacentral:lncRNA from 1 species